rnacentral:rRNA from 1 species
UACGAAGGGGGCUAGCGUUGCUCGGAAUUACUGGGCGUAAAGCGCACGUAGGCGGUCUUUUAAGUCGGGGUGAAAUCCUGGAGCUCAACUCCAGAACUGCCCUUGAAACUGCAGUGCUAGAAUCUUGGAGAGGCGAGUGGAAUUCCGAGUGUAGAGGUGAAAUUCGUAGAUAUUCGGAAGAACACCAGUGGCGAAGGCGACUCGCUGGACAAGUAUUGACGCUGAGGUGCGAAAGCGUGGGGAGCAAACAGG